UACGUAGGAUGCAAGCGUUGUUCGGAAUUACUGGGCGUAAAGAGUACGUAGGCGGUAAUGUAAGUCUGAUAUUAAAGACCAAAGCUUAACUUCGGGACUGUAUUGGAAACUGCAUUACUAGAGGACAAUAGAGGAAGUUGGAAUUCUCAGUGUAGCGGUGAAAUGCGUAGAUAUUGGGAAGAACACCAGUGGCGAAAGCGAACUUCUGGGUUGUUACUGACGCUGAGGUACGAAAGCGUGGGGAGCAAACGGG
rnacentral:rRNA from 1 species